AUAACGGUCCUAAGGUAGCGAAAUUCCUUGUCGGGUAAGUUCCGACCUGCACGAAAGGCGCAACGACUUGGGCGCUGUCUCGACCAUGGACCCGGUGAAAUUGCACUGGUCGUGAAGAUGCGACUUACCCGCGGAAGGACGGAAAGACCCCGUGAACCUUUACUGCAGCUUGGCAUUGGCCGACGGCGCGUCGCGUAGAGGAUAGGCAGGAGCCCGCGAAGCGGGGGCGCAAGCCCCCGUGGAGGCGACCUUGGAAUACUGCCCCCGGCGCGUCGGCGGCCUAACCCCGACCCGUGCAACCGGGCGGGGGACCGUGCCAGGCGGGUAGUUUGACUGGGGCGGUCGCCUCCCAAAGAGUAACGGAGGCGCGCGCAAGGUUGGCUCAGGGCGGUCGGCAAUCGCCCGCAGAGCGCAAGAGUGCAAGCCAGCCUGACUGCGAGGCCCACAAGCCGAGCAGGGACGAAAGUCGGCUCUAGUGAUCCGGCGGCCCAGAGUGGAAUGGCCGUCGCUCAACGGAUAAAAGGUACUCCGGGGAUAACAGGCUGAUCUUGCCCAAGAGUCCACAUCGACGGCAAGGUUUGGCACCUCGAUGUCGGCUCAUCGCAUCCUGGGGCUGAAGUCGGUCCCAAGGGUACGGCUGUUCGCCGUUUAAAGCGGUACGCGAGCUGGGUUCAGAACGUCGUGAGACAGUUCGGUCCCUAUCCUCCGUGGGCGCAGGAGAAUUGAGGAGGUCUACCCCUAGUACGAGAGGACCGGGGCGGACGGGCCUCUGGUGUCCCGGUUGUCGACCAACGGCACGGCCGGCUAGCCACGCCCGGAACGGAUAACCGCUGAAAGCAUCUAAGCGGGAAGCCGUCUCCGAGAUGAGUUCUCCCUCCGGUAAGGGCCCUCGUAGACCACGAGGUCGAUAGGCCGCAGCUGCAAGCGCCGCGAGGCGUUCAGGCGAGCGGUACUAAUAGCCCGAGCUCUUGCUUCC
rnacentral:rRNA from 1 species